ACCUGAGUCAUUCUCUCCCCAGAUCCUUACAUGGCAGGCUCCUUCUUGCCAUUCAGGUCUUGGUUAUGAGAGGACUUCCCUGCCAAUCAAAUCUAAUCUAAAGCAGCUUCUCCAAUGCAAUCGUUCUUUAUCAUACCACUGUGUUUUUUCUGUCAGGAACUGGAAUGAUUUUCUUUAUUAAUUGCUUACUUGCUUGUAUAUUUCUUCCCUGUAAAAUGUAAGCUCUAUCACAGCAGGGAUCUAUACUGUUUCAUUCACUAUAAUAUAUCUCCAACUUCUAGGAUAUAGCUGGCACAUAGAAGAUGAUCACUAAAUUUUUAUUGAAUGAAUGACGCAUAUCAUUAAGGAGAAAAGUUGGCCAGGCGCAGUGGCUCACGCCUGUAAUCCCAGCACUUUUGGAGGCCAAGCAUUAUUGUGGUAAUAGAUAACGAAUACAAGAAUCAAAGGGAAGGAUGAGUAUUCUGG
rnacentral:lncRNA from 10 species